rnacentral:rRNA from 1 species
AUGAUUGCAGAAUUUGAUAUGGUAAUGCAAGAUCACCUUAGACAUGUUGAGAACAAGGAAACCCAUUAUCACUAUCUCAGUCAUAAAAUACAAAAUGAGCUGAUAUCUCUUUUGGCUUCUGACAUCACAUGUUCUAUCAUAAAGGUUGUUAAAGAGGCCAAGUAUUUCUCUGUUAUCCUAGAUUGUACCCCUGAUGUUAGUCAUCAAGAACAAAUGACCUUUUUAGUUCGAUGUGUUAAUCUGUCUGAUGGCAAAAUAAAAAUUGAGGAGUACUUUCUGGGGUUCUUGAAAGUGGAUGACACUUCUGGCUUAGGGAUUUUCAAAGUACUGCUUGAUUCUGUUGAGUCUUUUGGCCUAAAUAUUCAAGAUAUAAGGGGUCAAGGAUAUGAUAACGGUUCUAAUAUGAAAGGAAAAUACCGAGGUGUA